AGAGUUUGAUCAUGGCUCAGGACGUACGCUGGCGGCACGCCUAACACAUGCAAGUCGAACGAAGUAGCAAUACUUAGUGGCAGACGGGUAAGUAACAUGUAGGUAUCUGCCCUUUGGCCUGGAAUAACACGAGGAAACUUGUGCUAAUACCGGAUAAGUCUUUACGGAGAAAGCUUUAUGCACCAUUGGAUGAGCCUGCAUUUGAUUAGUUUGUUGGUGGGGUAAUGGCCUACCAAGACUGUGAUCAAUAGCUGAUUUGAGAGGAUGAUCAGCCACAUUGGGACUGAGACACGGCCCAAACCCCUACGGGAGGCAGCAGUGGGGAAUCUUGCACAAUGGAGGAAACUCUGAUGCAGCGAUGCCGCGUGAGUGAAGAAGGCCUUUGGGUUGUAAAGCUCUUUCGUCGGGGAAGAAAAUGACUGUACCCGAAUAAGAAGGUCCGGCUAACUUCGUGCCAGCCGCCGCGGUAAUAC
rnacentral:rRNA from 1 species